GAUUUAUAUUGUAAAGAAUUAUUAUUAUUAUUAGAGGGUGUGAGGUUUUGCAUUUGAGUUUAGCUGGAGUUAAAUUAAAAAAAAUAUAUAUAAAUAAAUACAUUUUAAAUCAGAGGGUAAGGAAUUUGUCAAAUUGUUCGAAACGGCAAAUCGUUUAGGCUUACGAACGCCUUUGCCCUCUCAAGUUCCCGUUCACUUUUCACUAAAACGACGUGACGUUUUUU
rnacentral:misc_RNA from 1 species